AGAGUUUGAUCAUGGCUCAGAUUGAACGCUGGCGGCAGGCCUAACACAUGCAAGUCGAACGGUAACAGGAAGCAGCUUGCUGCUUCGCUGACGAGUGGCGGACGGGUGAGUAAUGUCUGGGAAACUGCCUGAUGGAGGGGGAUAACUACUGGAAACGGUGGCUAAUACCGCAUAACGUCGCAAGACCAAAGAGGGGGACCUUCGGGCCUCUUGCCAUCAGAUGUGCCCAGAUGGGAUUAGCUAGUUGGUGAGGUAACGGCUCACCAAGGCGACGAUCCCUAGCUGGUCUGAGAGGAUGACCAGCCACACUGGAACUGAGACACGGUCCAGACUCCUACGGGAGGCAGCAGUGGGGAAUAUUGCACAAUGGGCGCAAGCCUGAUGCAGCCAUGCCGCGUGUAUGAAGAAGGCCUUCGGGUUGUAAAGUACUUUCAGCGGGGAGGAAGGUGUUGUGGUUAAUAACCGCAGCAAUUGACGUUACCCGCAGAAGAAGCACCGGCUAACUCCGUGCCAGCAGCCGCGGUAAUACGGAGGGUGCAAGCGUUAAUCGGAAUUACUGGGCGUAAAGCGCACGCAGGCGGUCUGUCAAGUCGGAUGUGAAAUCCCCGGGCUCAACCUGGGAACUGCAUUCGAAACUGGCAGGCUUGAGUCUUGUAGAGGGGGGUAGAAUUCCAGGUGUAGCGGUGAAAUGCGUAGAGAUCUGGAGGAAUACCGGUGGCGAAGGCGGCCCCCUGGACAAAGACUGACGCUCAGGUGCGAAAGCGUGGGGAGCAAACAGGAUUAGAUACCCUGGUAGUCCACGCCGUAAACGAUGUCUACUUGGAGGUUGUGCCCUUGAGGCGUGGCUUCCGGAGCUAACGCGUUAAGUAGACCGCCUGGGGAGUACGGCCGCAAGGUUAAAACUCAAAUGAAUUGACGGGGGCCCGCACAAGCGGUGGAGCAUGUGGUUUAAUUCGAUGCAACGCGAAGAACCUUACCUGGUCUUGACAUCCACAGAACUUUCCAGAGAUGGACUGGUGCCUUCGGGAACUGUGAGACAGGUGCUGCAUGGCUGUCGUCAGCUCGUGUUGUGAAAUGUUGGGUUAAGUCCCGCAACGAGCGCAACCCUUAUCCUUUGUUGCCAGCGGUCCGGCCGGGAACUCAAAGGAGACUGCCAGUGAUAAACUGGAGGAAGGUGGGGAUGACGUCAAGUCAUCAUGGCCCUUACGACCAGGGCUACACACGUGCUACAAUGGCGCAUACAAAGAGAAGCGACCUCGCGAGAGCAAGCGGACCUCAUAAAGUGCGUCGUAGUCCGGAUUGGAGUCUGCAACUCGACUCCAUGAAGUCGGAAUCGCUAGUAAUCGUGGAUCAGAAUGCCACGGUGAAUACGUUCCCGGGCCUUGUACACACCGCCCGUCACACCAUGGGAGUGGGUUGCAAAAGAAGUAGGUAGCUUAACCUUCGGGAGGGCGCUUACCACUUUGUGAUUCAUGACUGGGGUGAAGUCGUAACAAGGUAACCGUAGGGGAACCUGCGGUUG
rnacentral:rRNA from 4 species